CGCAUCUGUGCAUGCAGCAUAUCAAUAAGCGGAGGAAAAGAAACUAACAAGGAUUCCCCUAGUAACGGCGAGUGAAGCGGGAAGAGCUCAAAUUUGAAAUCUUAAAGGGUUUCCCUUUACGAAUUGUAGUUUAAAGAAGUGUUUUCUGUUGAGGUUUUGGUAAAAGUUCUUUGGAAUAGGACAUCAUAGAGGGUGAGAAUCCUGUAUUUGACCUUUACUUUCAACUUUGUGAUACACUUUCAAAGAGUCGGAUUGUUUGGGAAUGCAGUCCAAAAUGGGUGGUAAAUUUCAUCUAAAGCUAAAUAUUGGCGAGAGACCGAUAGCGAACAAGUACCGUGAGGGAAAGAUGAAAAGAACUUUGAAAAGAGAGUUAAACAGUACGUGAAAUUGUCAAAAGGGAAGCGUUUGACACCAGUGUUGUUUUCUCGAAAAUCAAUUAAAAAGAGUUAGAUUUUGUUGUGUAUUGACCUUAACAGCUUGCAUUUCAAUUUUCUUGCUUUUUUUAAUGCACUUUUCGUUUAACAAGUCAACAUCAGUUUCUUUUGUUGUAAAAAGGUCAUUGGAAGGUGGCUUUCUUUUCGGAGAAAGUGUUUAUAGCCUUUGACUCCUGCAAUCGGAGAGACUGAAGUCUGCAGCGUAGAUCCUUCGGGGUUAGAUACAUUUGUGCUAAGUUAUAGCUUUUUAUAGACAACUUGUUGACUAUGAUUAGUCUUGUAGCUUACUCGCUUAUGCUAUUUUACCUACGCUUAGGAUGUUGACGAGACUGUCGAUCUCAUCUAUACAUGACUCUGUGCAUAUCAAUAAGCGGAGGAAAAGAGGGCUAUUACCUACGCUUAGGAUGUUGACGAGACUGUCGAUCUCAUCUAUACAUGACUCUGUGCAUAUCAAUAAGCGGAGGAAAAGGAGUAUACCUACGCUUAGGAUGUUGACACACGCGCGUGCACGCAUCUGUGCAUGCAGCAUAUCAAUAAGCGGAGGAAAAGUCAACUACCUACGCUUAGGAUGUUGACGAGACUGUCGAUCUC
rnacentral:rRNA from 1 species